rnacentral:RNase_P_RNA from 1 species
UCCAGCGCCCGAACCAUCGCUUCCCGGAAACGGGGGGAGGAAAGUCCGGACAGUGCAGGGCAACCCACCGGUUAACGACCGGCACCCCAUUCGGGGGAGAGAUAGUGCCACAGAAAAUAACUACUUCGUUUCGGCGGAGCAAAGGUGAAAAUGUGAGGUAAGAGCUCACGGCUUGUACUGGUAACAGGGCAGGCGGGUAAACCUUGGGUACUGUAAUGCCAUGUAUAGGAAUCUUUGAAUGCGGCCCGCAUGAUCCCGGUUCCGAUCGGGAAGGUUCCAGGGUAGGCAGCUAGAUCCCGGCAGUAAUGACGGGGCCAGAUAAAUGAUGGUAUUGGAACAGAAUCCGGCUUAUGAGGCGUUGGUUUAU